rnacentral:lncRNA from 1 species
GGAAGUUGAUUUGACAUGAUUUCUAUACUCAGUUACAUCAGUUUUUCCAAAGAGGAUGUCAAAUUUGAAAGAAAAUGUUCACUUGAAUGUCUGCUUUCCCGCAAUCUUCCUACCCUAGUAAAUUGUUCCCGACUAUGCUUCCUUUGCCGGGUGGGGUAGGGAGAAGGAGAGUGAGGUGCUUAAGGCUUUCCUUUCCUUUCCUUUCCUUUCCUUUCCUUUCCUUUCCUUUCCUUUCCUUUCCUUUCCUUUCCUUUCCUUUCCUUUCCUUUCCUUUCCUUUCCUUUCCUUUCCUUUCCUUUCCUUUCCUUUCCUUUCCUUUCCUUUCCUUUCCUUUCCUUUCCUUUCCUUUCCUUUCCUUUCCUUUCCUUUCCUUUCCUUUCCUUUCCUUUCCUUUCCUUUCCUUUCCUUUCCUUUCCUUUCCUUUCCUUUCCUUUCCUUUCCUUUCCUUUCCUUUCCUUUCCUUUCCUUUCCUUUCCUUUCCUUUCCUUUCCUUUCCUUUCCUUUCCUUUCCUUUCCUUUCCUUUCCUUUCCUUUCCUUUCCUUUCCUUUCCUUUCCUUUCCUUUCCUUUCCUUUCCUUUCCUUUCCUUUCCUUUCCUUUCCUUUCCUUUCCUUUCCUUUCCUUUCCUUUCCUUUCCUUUCCUUUCCUUUCCUUUCCUUUCCUUUCCUUUCCUUUCCUUUCCUUUCCUUUCCUUUCCUUUCCUUUCCUUUCCUUUCCUUUCCUUUCCUUUCCUUUCCUUUCCUUUCCUUUCCUUUCCUUUCCUUUCCUUUCCUUUCCUUUCCUUUCCUUUCCUUUCCUUUCCUUUCCUUUCCUUUCCUUUCCUUUCCUUUCCUUUCCUUUCCUUUCCUUUCCUUUCCUUUCCUUUCCUUUCCUUUCCUUUCCUUUCCUUUCCUUUCCUUUCCUUUCCUUUCCUUUCCUUUCCUUUCCUUUCCUUUCCUUUUCUUUUUUUUUAGCUGUUUGAUAAUUCCUACCCUGUAAUGUCAUCAAACCAUAAUUUCCUGAAGAAUCAGGCCAUUUAUGCUUGUAAAUACAUUGCUUGUAAGUGAAAUUUCUUUUUUCACCAUUAACUAACCCAAUUGACACCGAAGUAAACGAAAGAGUUAUUUUUUCAGUCCAAAUUACUAUGUCAAUAAUUUUGUCAUAAACCCUACUCGAUCAAUACCCA